UUGAUUAUAAUUUAAAGUCUAACCUGCCCAAUGAGUAGUUAAAUGGCUGCGGUAAUUUGACCGUACAAAGGUAGCAUAAUCAUUAGUUUUUUAAUUGAAAGCUGGAAUGAAAGGUCGGACGAGAAAAUGACUGUCUCAAUUUAAUUUAAAUUAGAAUUUUAUUUUUAAGUAAAAAAGCUUAAAUAAUUUUAAAAGACGAUAAGACCCUAUAGAAUUUUAUAUUUUUUUAAAUAACGGUUUAUAAGAAAUUUUUUAUUUUUAUUUAAAAACGUAUUUUGUUGGGGCGAUAGAAAAAUUUAAUGAACUUUUUUUUAUAUAUAUCAUUAAUUUAUGAUUAAAUGAUCCAUUUUUUAUGAUUAAAAGAUUAAAUUACCUUAGGGAUAACAGCGUAAUUUUUCUUAAGAGUUCAUA
rnacentral:rRNA from 1 species